CGCGUAGGCGGGGAGGUAAGUCGGGUGUGAAAUCCCUCGGCUCAACCGAGGAACUGCGCCCGAGACUGCUUCUCUUGAGUCCCGGAGAGGAAGAUGGAAUUCCCGGUGUAGCGGUGAAAUGUGUAGAGAUCGGGAGGAACACCGGUGGCGAAGGCGGUCUUCUGGACGGUGACUGACGCUGAGGCGCGAAAGCGGUGGGGAAGGCAAACG
rnacentral:rRNA from 1 species